rnacentral:rRNA from 1 species
UACGUAGGGGGCUAGCGUUGUCCGGAAUCAUUGGCGUAAAGCGCGUGUAGGCGGUCCGGUAAGUCCGCUGUGAAAGUCGGGGGGCUCAACCCUCGAAUGCCGGUGGAUACUGUCGGGCUAGAGUGCGGAAGAGGCGAGUGGAAUUCCUGGGUGUAGCGGUGAAAUGCGCAGAUAUCAGGAGGAACACCGGUGGCGAAGGCGGAUCUCUGGGCCUGUUCUGACGCUGAGGCGCGAAAGCUAGGGGAGCGAACAGG